AACGCACAUUGCGCCCUUUGGUAUUCCGAAGGGCAUACCUGUUCGAGCGUCAUUACAACCCUCAAAUUGCAUGAUUUGAUGUUGGGCCGCGCCCGGAGAGGGCGCGCCUGAAAGGCAGUGACGGUUGCCAGUCCGACCUAGGCGUACAAGUAUCGCGAUAGGGACGAUUGGGGGCCUGUCUUGAACUCCACAUCCACAUGUUGACCUCGGAUCAGGUAGGGAUACCCGCUGAACUUAA
rnacentral:misc_RNA from 1 species